rnacentral:pre_miRNA from 1 species
ACAACAACAUUAGGACCGUCGGUCUACCGAGUAAUAUCACCCGCUCGGUGGAAGAUCUUCCCUUUGUCGUAUAUA